rnacentral:rRNA from 1 species
UUUGAUCCUGGCUCAGGAUGAACGCUGGCGGCGUGCCUAAUACAUGCAAGUCGUACGAACAGCGGAAAGUGCUUGCACUUUCCAAGUAAGUGGCGAACGGGUGAGUAACACGUGAAUAACCUACCUCAAAGUCUGGGAUAACCAUUGGAAACAGUGACUAAUACCGGAUAAAACCCAAGUGCACAUGCACUAAGGUUAAAAGCUGCGUUUGCAGCGCUUUAAGAUGGAUUCGCGGUGCAUUAGUUAGUUGGUGAGGUAAAGGCUCACCAAGACGAUGAUGCAUAGCCGAGUUGAGAGACUGACCGGCCACAUUGGGACUGAGACACGGCCCAAACUCCUACGGGAGGCUGCAGUAGGGAAUCUUCCACAAUGGGCGCAAGCCUGAUGGAGCAACGCCGCGUGUGUGAUGAAGGCUUUCGGGUCGUAAAGCACUGUUGUAUGGGAAGAACGGGUUUAAGAGGAAAUGCUUAGACAGUGACGGUACCAUACCAGAAAGGGACGGCUAAAUAC